CCUUGUGUCUAUAGAGAGAGGGCUACACCCAGAUACCAUCCCGAACCUGGCAGUUAAGCCUCUAUUCGCUGAUAAUACUGCACCUUUCAGGUGUGGGAAUGUAGGUUGAUGCAGGGG
rnacentral:rRNA from 1 species